rnacentral:rRNA from 1 species
GACGAACGCUGGCGGCGUGCUUAACACAUGCAAGUCGAACGGAAAGGCCCUGCUUUUGUUGGGUGCUCGAUUGGCGAACGGGUGAGUAACACGUGAGUAACCUGCCCUUUACUUUGGGAUAACUUCAGGAAACUGGGGCUAAUACCGGAUAGGAGCUCCUGCUGCAUGGUGGGGGUUGGAAAGUUUCGGCGGUUGGGGAUGUACUCGCGGCUUAUCACCUUGUUGGUGGGGUAGUGGCUUACCAAGGCUUUGACGGGUAGCCGGCCUGAGAGGGUGACCGGCCACAUAGGGACUGAGAUACGGCCCAGACUGAUACGGGAGGAAGCAGUGGGGAAUAUUGCACAAUGGGCGGAAGCAUGAUGCAGCAACGCCGCGUGCGGGAUGACGGCCUUCGGGUGGUAAACCGCUUUCGCCUGUGACGAAGCGUGAGUGACGGUAAUGGGUAAAGAAGCGCCGGCGAACUACGU